rnacentral:lncRNA from 1 species
AAAUGGUCCACAAUGUCAACACUCAAAUUCUAUAUUGUUAUCAAUGCAGAAUUCUGUAACUUUUUCUGCUUCUGACAAAACAGUAAAAGAAAACCCAAAUAAGAUAUUGCCAUUUUUAAAUGCUGUUAUAAGUUUGCAAUCUAUAUUUGAAGUCAGGACAAAAACCAGGAGUGUUCUCAAGACCUGAUAAUGUUUUAGGUAGAGAAUAAACAUUUUACAAAUUCUGUAAUGCACUUCUUUCGGCCAUUUUUAAGGAAAUCAGGUGGUUUUGCUAUGAACUAUGGGAUAUUACACAAAAAUCCUCAUAAAAAUGAACAAAUAUUUCCAAGAACAUGCAGUUAAACAAGUACU